GUAAGACAAGGGGUCGAUGUGUGGGUGUGUCUAUUUGUCAAUAACAGCUGGUGCACGAAAUUGAAUAUUAAGGAAGUCUCGAGGUUUUGCUCGCCUGAGGUAGAGUAUCUCAUAAUAAUCUGUAGACCACACUAUUUACCAAGAGAGUUUAUCUAUAUUUUUCUAUUUACCACCACAAACCAAUGCGGCACUAAGACCGCACUCAACAAACAGUAUUAGGCCAUAACCAAACAAGAAAAUUCUCAUCCAGGGGCGGCGCUCCUAGUGGCCGGGGACUUUAAUGCAGGGAAACAAACCCGUUUUAUGUAAUUUCUUCCAGCAUGUUACAUGUGCAACCAGAGGGGAAAAAACUCUAGACAACCUUUACUCCACACACAGAGACGCAUACAAAGCUCUCCCUCGCCCUGAAUUUGGCAAAUCUGACCAUAAUGCUAUCCUCCCGAUUCCUGCUUACAAGCAAAAACUAAAGCAGGAAGUACCAGUGACUUGCUCAAUACGGAAGUGGUCAGAUGAUGCAGAUGCUACACUACAGGACUGUUUUGCUAGCACAGACUGGAAUAUGUUCCGGGAUUCAUCCAAUGGCAUUGACGAGUACACCACAUCAAUAAGUGCAUCAAUGAUGUCGUCCCCACAGUGACCGUACAUACAUACCCCAACCAGACGCCAUGGAUGACAGGCAACAUCCGCACUGAGCUAAAGGUUAGAGCUACUGCUUUCAAGGAGCGGGACUCUAACCCAGAUGCUUAUACGAAAUCCAAGAACACCAAUGUAACCUGCCUAAAUGACUACUGACCCGUAGCACUCACGUCUGUAGCCAUGAAGUGCUUUGAAAGGCUGGUAAUGGCUCACAUCAACACCAUUAUCCCAGAAACCCUAGACCCAAUACAAUUUGCAUACCGACUCCAACAAAUCCACAGAUGAUGGAAUCUUUAUUGCACUCCACAUUGCCCUUUCCCACCUGGACAAAAGGAACACCUACAUGUGAAUGCUAUUCGUAGACUACAGCUCAGCGUUCAAUACCAUAGUGCCCUCAAAGCUCAUCACUAAGCUAAGGACCCUGGGACUAAACACCUCCCUCUGCAACUGGAUCCUGGACUUCCUGACGGGCCACCCCCAGGUGGUAAGGGCGGCGAAUCGCAUCUCUGCAUGUCUGUCAGACAUAUCAGUGUGGAUGACGGAUCACCAGCUCAAGCUGAACCUCGGCAAGACGGAGCUGCUCUUCCUCCCGGGGAAGGACUGCCCGUUCCAUGAACUCGCCAUCACGGUUGACAACUCCCUUGUGUCCUCCUCCCAGAGUGCUAAGAACCUUGGCGUGAUCCUGGACAACACCCUGUCGUUCUCCACUAACAUCAA
rnacentral:lncRNA from 1 species